AUGAACGGUGUGUAAAGAAAAUAAUACCAAAAACAUAUUGAAAUUGCCACAUACAGUAUAUAAAUUUGUUUUAUCCGAAAACCACAAUUUUUAUCCCAUGACAAUAUAAUAAGGGCAUAUCAGCACUUAAAGCCAUUUCCUAUUAUUUUAUGCAUUACUGUACAUUAUAAUUUUUUUUAAAUUACAUUGGAAAUGUGAAAAUUUAUAUUUCCCCGGUGUUUGUAACUCACAGGUUGAAUUGGCCAAAGAAAAUUUUUAGAAAAAUGAAUCGGCAAGAUUGGGUCUGGAAUUUUUGGAAUAACUUAGGAGACCAAUAAAGACAAGAGGCACAGGCAAGGUUGGAGGAAGACCAAAGACGACGACACAGAAGACGACUCCACAGAAUUGUAACUGACCGCAUGAACCCAUUCACAGCAAUUAGCGAUGAUGAAUUUGUUGACCGAUUUAGGCUCCGAAAGGAAUCGGUUAACAGUAUCAUCCAAGAAAUUCAGGAUCUGCUUCCUGUUGCCAAUGAUAAGAGGUUGUCCUGUUCCUCCAAACCUACACGUUCUAUUAGCAAUACUUUGCAUGGUGACUGGAAGCCACCAAAUAUCAUUUGGAGACUGUUAUGAUGUGUCUCAAGCCUGUGUCAGUCUGUAUCUUGCAAGGGUUUCGAGAGCAAUAGCCAACCUUAGUGAACAGUUUAUAAAAUUUCCUGCUGGCAAUGAUUUACACAAAACAGUGCAGGCCUUUUACAAUAGUGCUAGAAUGCUGGGAGUCAUUGGAUCCAUAGGUACUGUAUAGAGCUACAGUACCAGGUUUGGGCUGUUUAUAAUACUUGUAGUUACAUUCAUGAUAUAAAGACAGGAGUUGAUUUUUUUAA